GUAAGCUGGUGUGGGGGUUUCGAGUAGGAGAAACACUUUAUCUGAAAGUGUUUCUCCUACUUGAGGAAGCUCCGUUCCCGCGGCUCCACGACUAUCGUAAGAUAGUAGGGCGAGAGCCCUGGCAACGGCGCAGAAACGAUAUCUUCUCUGGCUAAUGAAAAUGAUACGAGAAUUAUACUCGUAGAAAAGGCCAGAGACGGAUUGAAACGAGCCGCCCCGUGGAAAGGCUUAGCCGAUGAUGGCCGCGAAAGGCUAAGAAAAGAUAAAUCCCCCUAAAACAGAAAACGGGCUACGGCCAGCAUAC
rnacentral:RNase_P_RNA from 1 species